GGCACGGAGCUGCUCUCUAUAUCCAGAGCCUCAGAGUCGCUCUGACACCAUUCACUCCAGAGUCCCACGCAGCCAAGGAACUCCGCAGACUGCUGCAAGACAGGCUCUGGAUAGCACAGCACGGACAACGUUCCCCAGUGUGAUUUUCUCCUCGUUUGGAUUAUAAAUAUUUGAUCUAGGACUAUUAAAUACUAAAAAAAAAAGUCAGCAAAUUAGUCGUGCUAUUGAAUCCUAUGUGACAUUUUCUUGAAAGUAGCCGGGUUUAUUGCAUUUUUUCCCAAAUAUAUAUAUAUUAAACUGGGUUCAAGUUUGAAGCCUGUAGUUUCUUUUAAGAAAGUGAAGGGCAAUGUGCGUCCUGCUUGUCUCUUGGGAUUGUCUCACUUGCGUUUGAGGAGCUAUGUCAAGUCGCAGCAGCAGAGUGUGUUCGGGAGGACGCGAUCCACUGUGAAUAACAAGAAUCAACUUCCAGCCUCUCACGGCUUCAAGCAAGUGCAGCGCGGUGUCUUGACUGAGCACGCUGAGCUGCCUGACACUCCGGGUUUCUCUCCCAGAGGGGAUGGUUGUGGAUCCUCUGGGGCCAGGAGCGACUCUGGGGCUCCUACACGUUCGCACUUUUUCUGAGAUUCGAGUAAAUUCUAAAUUAAAGGGAAAUGAGAGCCACACUUUCCUACAUCCUGCUGUGGACGACGUACCUGCUGGCCACUGCUGAGGAAGUGGAGUUUCCCCAAGAGCUGAUAGACCGACUGUCCCACAGCGAAAUCCACAGCAUCAGCGACCUCCAGCGGCUACUGGAUAUCGACUGGAGAGGUACGGGAAACAAUGUUAUUGAGGAGCCCAAGCACCACAUGCACCACAAGCAACCAAACCACCACAAGAACUCCUCUCAUCAUUAUGGUUACUACGGUGACCUGAAGAGCUCCCAGCUGCACAGCCGACGCAAGAGGAGCAUUGUAGAGGAGGCAGUUCCAGCAGUCUGCAAGACACGGACGGUGAUCUACGAGAUCCCCAGGAGCCAGGUGGAUCCCACGUCUGCCAACUUCCUGAUAUGGCCGCCUUGUGUGGAGGUGAAGCGCUGCACGGGCUGCUGCAACACCAGCAACAUGCGCUGUCACCCUUCCCGCAAACACCACCGCACCGUUAAGGUAGCCAAGGUGGAGUAUGUGAGGAGGAGACCCAAGUUGAAAGAAGUCUUUGUGCGGUUAGAAGACCACCUGGAGUGUGUAUGCACAUCACAUCAUCACGCGGUAGAGCCCUCGGAUCCAGAAGCAGGCCACCGUAGGGCCAAAGGUAAAAAAAGGAAACCUAAAAAGCUAAGACGCACCAAGGGAUUAUUGGUGACUUAAAACAAAAAGUUGCACUCAUUACCCAAAGUCCACUGGAGAGCUCUGAAGCGAACAGUGGAUGUGAGGUGAGACCAAUCAGAACAAGGGACUUCAGCGUGGGAGGUGCCUAAAUAGAGGAGGCCUCCAAAAAUGACACCUGCUCUGUCCUCUUCCCCGCUGCCGUGCAACCUUCGUCUCAAAAAACAAAACAAAAUAAACCCCAAACUUUUCUGUAAAGAUGUCAGACUGAAAAAGAGACAGCAGAUAAAAACAACUGAGAUACCAAAGGUGCUUUUGAAAAAGAAAACAGCCGGUGACUUUCUCUGCGGUAAGCCACUUACCUAAAUGGUUGAUUAAGAAAAGAGGAUGCUGCGGAUCUCGGGCAGGCCAGGAAAAAGGCCAAAGGGAGACGAUGAAAGGGAUCGAUCGGUGAUGGACAUUUUGACUGGGCGACAGUUGAACAGCUGUUGAACAGUUGGACCACACCUCGAUGAAAAUCAAGUGCUCCGAUUUAACACAAGUACUCUGACCUGCUUAAAGGAGUCUUGCAUUCACAGGAAAAAAGACAGAGGGAUAUAGGGGAAAAAAUGAUGGAAUGAAAGAGACUCUUUAUGGAGCAUCAAACACUUUGAGUUGACAGAUGUUUGCUCCGAGACCUCUGGUUGUGACUUUGCCCACCUGCUAUGUACAGUUCAAUUUGAAAAGAAAGUAGUCGUUCUUCUUGCAAACUAUUUAUGUGUGGAUGUUUGCUUUCCAUUAUGAAAGGAAAAAAACAAACGAAAGAUGUUUCAUCAUGUUUUUGCAAUAGGUCUGGUUCUUUGUAACCAUCAGUAUCACAAUCUCAGUGUAAUUUUGUUUUCUUGUCAGCCAUGUUUCUUAUUAUAUUACACUAUAUCUGAUUGAUGUCCAGUCUUGUAUAUGGUUUGGAUACAUGUGUGUGAGGAGGAGUUUUUGAGAGUCAGUACAGGAAGAUGCUUUAUUUUUGUUAUGAAAUAUAUUAUGCAUACUUAUAUCCAAGCGGGAAUUAUGUUUUCUUUUUGUUGUUCUUGAAUGUCUAUAUUUAAUCCAUCUGGGCAGGGCGGGGUGGGGCGGGGGUGCAAAAAAGAGGUCAGGGGUGGAAAGUAGGUGCGUGCGUGCGUGCGCUACAGCUGUGAACAGGAUAAAAGAUGGGGAUAAAACAGUGUGUGUGUGUGUGUGUGUGUGUGUGUGUGUGUGUGUGUGUGUGUGUGUGUGCGCGCGCUGUGGCAUACUGUGGCAUAUGCUAAGGCAGUGACACGCCCUGCCCUAUCCUUUAGGCAAUAUUUACCACAAACAUGCAUUCAGCAAAUCAGUGUGUCUGCCAAUCACAUAAGUGCACUAGCAUGUCUAAACUAGAGCAUAUUCAUAGGCUGUAUAUGUGUGUGUGCUUAUGCACAAUUUCUCUGCUACGAGAGGCUAUUCUUUUGGGUUUGUUUUUUUUCUCUCACCCAUUUCAGUCCAGCGCUGAUAAGGAAGAUACGCGCCCGGUCUACUACAUAAGCACACAUGUUGUGUCUUUGAAGAGCAAAGUCCAUCUUAAAGACUGAAUGAAAGUGCAAAGCAAAUCGACAAGUGGAUGAAUGGGCUCCUUGUUUGGUCAGGCUUUACUCCUCUGUUGACAAGAGAACAGAUCUCAGAUUACUCCACUCCUGUGAAGGGACUCACACUUUAUGCAGCUUUCCUCCGUCAGGACAAAUGAUCUGAGGUGGCUUGAAAACAGCGCGGUGCUAGCCUGAACUCGUGCCCCAAAGGAACAAACAAUUACUUCCUUACCAGUUCCUAUGAUAGUGAUGAAUGUGCGACAAGGCCUGGGGCUUAUGCGAAAACAACGUCCCUUUUUCAGCCUGUGUCGAAAUACGGAAAUAUGACUGAGAUUCUUCUAGCGGACAAAGGCAUGAGAGUGAGUCACAGUGCAAUGAAAAGCAAAUCAAGUGAGAAGAGCUUGACUGAAACAUGGCAGAAACGGCUACUGCUGAACUGUGGGCUACAUAUCACACACACACACAGCGCACCUGUUGACUGGUGCCAUAUUUUGUGAGGCUGAUGUUUCACCGGUAUUCUCAAUCACAGUUGCAUCAAUAUAAGAUAGUGUUCUCAGUGAAUCAGGGACCAUGCAUAGAGCAAUUUGAUUGCAGUCUACCACAAUGCUGUUAUGCUAUUGCAAAGCCUGUUAUUACUUUCCUUUUGAGCUUUCAUUGGAUAAACAUAGCAAUAAUCAUAAUUUAUAUAUUUAUGUUAUUAACAAUAAAUAUAUUUCUGCUCAU